rnacentral:rRNA from 1 species
CCUACGGGAGGCAGCAGUGGGGGAUAUUGCACAAUGGGGGAAACCCUGAUGCAGCGACGCCGCGUGUGGGAAGACGGUCCUCUGGAUUGUAAACCACUGUCCCCAGGGACGAAGAUGACGGUACCUGGGGAGGAAGCUCCGGCUAACUACGUGCCAGCAGUCGCGGUAAUACGUAGGGAGCAAGCGUUGUCCGGAAUUACUGGGUGUAAAGGGAGCGUAGGCGGGAUGGCAAGUUGGGUGUUAAAUCUACCGGCUCAACUGGUAGUCGCACGCAAAACUGCUAGUCUUGAGUGAAGUAGAGGCAGGCGUAAUUCCGAGGGUAGCGGUGAAAUGCGUAGAUAUUAGGAGGAACACCAGUGGCGAAGGCGGCCUGCUGGGCUUUUACUGACGCUGAGGCUCGAAAGUGUGGGGAGAAAACAGGAUUAGAGACACUUGUAGUC